AGGAUACCUGGUUUGUUUGGGGGCAAAGAGGAGUUGAUGUGGCAUUGUGUUAACAGUGGUUGAGAAUGCAAGUGGUAAACAUCUGAAAGUAGAAUACUACAAAAUGCAUGCAUUGUAUGUACCAAAAGAGGCCACAGGAAGCUUCACUGGACCUAGGGAUGGCAGGUGUCCCACACUGCUCCAGGGCCUGGCACAGAGAAGAGAGAAGUCACUGAGAAGUGCUUUACUGAUGCCAAUCACUCCUCAGAGCAGAUGGGGAAACUGAGCCUCAGAUGAAACCUGAAUUCCAGAUCUCUCUUGGACACUGACCUCAAGUGUUACCUUGGGCCUCGGAAAAGUCACUUGGACCCUUUGGACAGCAGUUUAUUCAUCUAACAAUCAAUAAGUUGAACUAGAAGAUCGCUAAGUCACUUUUAUUUCUAAAAUUCUGUGAUUCCAGUUAACCAGUAUUCAUAAAAGUGUGGAACGCUGUAAACGUGCAUAAAAGUCCAUGCAGAGAUAACGGUGGAGGACCCCCUCAUCAAUACUAUUUUUAUUACCUUCUUCCUAGAUUUUACCAAUUGUCAUUCUUACUCUUAAUAUUAAGGCUGUGGGACUUAACUAAAUCAUCUUUGAAAUACUGAGCUAUCAACAGAUGGCAUGCUGAAUGCAAAUAUACUGCAAAUAAAUAUUUGGUCCUGAAGAAGAUCAAGAGCUGGAGUUCAUUUCCCCUUCUCAUUUGGGCUCAGAACUCUGCGGUCUUUCCUUUUACUGCCCUUGCCUCCAAACUGGCUGUUUGUGUUCAAAGAUGGAUCAGGAAAUCAGUUCCAAAGUUGGUUACAAACUUUCAGUAAUUUUUGUUUUUUAUUUUUUGUAACCAGCCAAUUUCUCUUAGUUCACAUAACAAAGAAGCUCAUAAUUAUUUGCAACUUUAGUUAGAGCAAUGGUCUUAAAAAUGUCUAGCUAAAUAGAAAAUGCUCAGACUUUCUGAGUGCCGACAGUUAUCAAAUUCACCUAGUUCAUAUAUGGCCACAUUUCUGAAGUUCUUUUAACAGCCCAACUGUGAGCAAUAGGAUCAGAUGACUAAGAACUACAGGACGGAAGCGCUAUUACUUUGAAUCAUAUUUUCCCAUUACCCAGCUAUAAAGAGUCUGUUUCUCUCUGACCCAUAUAAAGUUCAGAAUUUAGGGCCCUAUGUGAUUUUAAUCCCAUCAUUUAGCACCCCAGCUGUAUGAAUCUGAAAGUAAAAAUGAAGUUGUUUGAAUUCCAGACCCCCUGAACAUUCUCAGGGAGCUCAUCAGCUCCCUAAGCUAAGCUAUAGGUUUAAAUCUAAACCUAAAUCUGUAGGUAUGAACCCAAAUUUCAUGAUAAACAAAAACUGAAUAGAUCUGUCUUCCCUGUCAUUACUCACCUUUUGAUCAUUCUUUUACCAAAAUUACUAUGACUGGGUUAGAAUAAUAGAAUGCAAUCAAUAAAUGCAAUCACUAGCCCCUGGCCAGAUAAUAACACAUUCAGAACUUUCUUUCCUAAAGGAGAUUUUAUCGUGUUUGUGCUCUUGUAAAUAGGAGAAAGAGAGAAAUAUAACUUAAUAAAUGGAAGCAUUCACUAAUUUAUUCAACAAAUAUUAAUUUAGUAUCUACUAGAUUCCAGGAGUUUACAGUCUAGUAGCAGAAAUAAUCUCACACACAUACAAAAUCAAACCAUUAAAUAAGUGUGGGGU